rnacentral:rRNA from 1 species
UACCAGCACCCCGAGUGGUCGGGACGAUUAUUGGGCCUAAAGCAUCCGUAGCCGGUCCUGCAAGUCUUCCGUUAAAUCCAGCUGCUCAACAGAUGGGCUGCGGGGGAUACUACAGGGCUAGGAGGCGGGAGAGGCAAGCGGUACUUUAUGGGUAGGGGUAAAAUCCGUUGAUCCAUAGAAGACCACCAGUGGCGAAAGCGGCUCCCUGGUCCAGCACCGACGUUCAGGCACGAAAGCGUGGGGAGCAAACAGG